UGACAGAAUGAAGUGGAAGACAGGCUCACGAGCUUCAUCACGGUGUUCAAAUACACUGAUGACAAGGUCGUCUUUCAAAAGUUCUAUGCAAGAAUGCUGGCAAAACGUUUAAUUCAUGGGUUAUCCAUGUCUAUGGAUUCUGAAGAAGCCAUGAUCAACAAAUUAAAGCAAGCCUGUGGUUAUGAGUUUACCAGCAAGCUACAUCGGAUGUAUACAGAUAUGAGUGUCAGCGCUGAUCUCAACAAUAAGUUCAACAAUUUUAUCAAAAACCAAGACACAGUAAUAGAUUUGGGAAUUAGUUUUCAAAUAUAUGUUC